GGAGAGGCGCUGGCGGGAGGAGCUGGAGUGGGAGAGGCAAGAGGCUGCUGCCGCCUUUUGGGCUGCAGCAGGUGCCUCGAGCUCUUGCCCGGUGCCGUGGGGGGAGCCCAGCCAGCCGGACGAGGAUGGCCUGCCACGCGUGCGGCCACCUCGAAAGGGCAAGAUGUGGCUGAGGGGCCUCACCUUUCGCCUUCGGGAGCUGGGCAGAUCCUGUGCGGGUAAGAAAGCGCCCAGAGCCCCCGGCACCGCAGGCGGGCACGCAGGGCCCCUGCCCGCAGCAGGCCGCACACCCUCGGGAGCAAGCGGAGCCCUGCAGCCAGGGCAGGCAGGCACCAGCGUUCACGCCUGGGGCUUUGGCGUUCCUUGCAGUGCCAGCUUUCCGGUCUUGCUCCGGCAAGAAGAGACAGCAGAAGGCCCGGGCACCUGCGGAGACCCUCGUUGCUGCGGGCCUUGUGGAGGAGCGAGAGGAGAGCGGCACCGCCGCCUCCAGCCUCACCAGUGACCAGCACCCGGUGAGUGAGGGCAGCCCCCGGCGCACAGCCCCUCGCUGGCCCCUGCGGGGACACCUGCGUCUGGGGCAGAGCCACCCAUCCCAAAGCACAGGAUCCCCACUCACGUCCCAGCCUGGCCGAGCUCAAUCCCAAAAGGCGAGAGCCGCUGAGAAGCACCUGGGAGGAGCGCUUGUGCAAAGGCUGCCUUCCAAGGAGGUCCUCCAAACCUCCUGUUGGAGCAGGGGCUGCGUCCAGCAGGCUGCGAGCACCAGCAAGAUGGCUCCAGCAGCCCUGCGUUGCCUUCUCCCUCCCCCUCCCAGACCCACCAGCCUCCCUCAAGGUCCCUUCCCCUCCGCAGCUGAUCUCCUGCCUCUCUGAGCCGUUCUCUUUUCCACCCGUGUCCCCAAAGGUCCAGGAGAGCCUCGACGCAGAGGUCCCCCCUGCUCAGGCACCUGGGGUGCCUUCUGGCGAAGAAGAUGGUGAGACGGAAGCUCCUGCAGCAGAAGAGCAGCCCACGGAGCCAAGCAGCGAUGAGGUUAUAGAUGCGGCCGUGAGAUACAUCUCCAAAUACGUGAAGGACCUGGCCGCCUACAUGGACCAAGCCAUCUCUCGGGGUAGGCAGCCGAGGGUGGAGGGUGAGGUCUUGGGCCCAGCGGGACCGGGCCAGGCAACAGGGGGCUCUCAGGGAGGAAAGCGGGGCUGGCACGAGCAGGGGUCAAAGUCUGCGCCCCUCCUCCUGUCCUGGAGGGGUCUGUCAGAGGGAACCCACUCAGCAGGGAAGUCCUUGAGGGCGUGGAGGCCUGUUUUCACCUUCUGCUUGUGUCUGCCAGAAAUGGAGCUUGCCAAAGGGCUGCAAUCAUUAGCCAGUGCCUUCAAGAAGACUAGCACUCACGAAGAGGUAAGCUGGCGGAGACGGGCAGCCCCAAAGCUCUCCCCACAACCCCCAGCGCCCUGCUUCCUGGGCUCCCGCGCCAGCUGCCUGACAGGGCCUGGGCGCUGCCACCUUCUGCACACCUCCCGCCUGCCUCCCAGCACUCUCCUUGCAGCCUGCCACUACCCGGUCCCAGCCAGGCCUGGGCUUUGCCGGUAGCGGCCAAGGCAGA
rnacentral:lncRNA from 1 species